GUUUUACACUGUAGCAAACGUGACUCCGGUCUCUGCAAGCCAACAUGGCCGUCAUGCAUGCGUUGCAUCCCUGAUACCGACGCAGUGUACGCGAAUCAGCAGUAGACACAAACGUGACCGUUUUUUUUUUUAUUCCGCGUUCCCGAUUUUAACCCACAAUUAUCCAGAGUCAUUGUCGCGAAGAGAAGUCCUUCUCCUUGCGUGGUUUCCUUUUACCCUGGGCGUUAUGCUAUCUGAGGGCAACAAAAACGGUGAGGUGUCGGAGCCUAGUGCAGCUGCUGUCACUGAAGAGGAGCCAGACUCUGAGAGCUCCAUGGCUUUGCCAGCGGCUUCUGGGGCAGAGCCAGAGAACAGUGAGGGUCCUGUGGAGGAGGUGCCCAUGCCUCUUCCAUUGCCCCUAAUGGUACCUGCUGCGUACUACUUCUACCAUCACCACCAACACGAUCACCUUCUCCACUCCUCUUCCUACUCCUACAAGUCCUGUCUCGCUAAGCCCGAUCGCAGCGCUGGUACCUGAGUUUAGGCCUGUUUGAGAAACGCUGAACCAGCAGGAUGUGCAGCUCUCAUCACACCAGCGUCAGCAGCUACAGGGGCCGCCAUGGCAACUGCAGCAGCACACAGUUGUCAUGGAAACCAACACUGGCCAUGGAAGCCAUCUUUGCCUUUUCUGAACUGAACUAUAUCUAAAAUAAGAACUCAGGACACGUCCAUUAAAGGCCUACUGUAAUCACAUCCUUAUUCUGGAACUUUCCUUCCUGUAAAGCAUGGCUGCCCUCUGUAGGUGUGAUGGAGUAAGGACAAUGAGGACAAUCUCUUUCACAAAUUCCAUUGGCUGUGGAAUUUU
ensembl:lncRNA